AAAUGAAUAGACGGGGACCCGCACAAGCGGUGGAGCAUGUGGUUUAAUUCGACGAUAAGCGAAGAACCUCACCAAGGUUUGACAUCUAGCUGCAAGGCCUGGAAACAGGUCCGCCUUCGAGGGUGCUAGACAGAUGCUGCAUGGUUGUCGUCAGCUCGUGUCGUGAGAUGUACCGUUUAGUCGGAAAACGAGCGCAACCCUGUUCUUAUGUUUCAUGUGUCAUAAGAGACUGCCCGUUUUAAAUGGGAGGAAGGUGGGAUGACGUCAAAUCAGCAUGGUUCUUACACCUUGGGCAACACACGUGCUACAAUGGGAGGUACAAAGGGACGCCAAAUCGCAAGAUGGAGCAAAUCCCUAAAAACCUCUCUCAGUUCGGAUUGAGGUCUGCAAUUCGACCUCAUGAAGUUGGAAUCGCUAGUAAUCGUGGAUCAGCUAUGCCACGGUGAAUACGUUCUCGGGUCUUGUACACACCGCCCGU
rnacentral:rRNA from 1 species